rnacentral:rRNA from 1 species
GACAGAGGGGGCAAGCGUUGCUCGGAAUUACUGGGCGGAAAGGGCGCGUAGGCGGGAUGGCAAGUCGGUCGUGAAAUCCCUCGGCUCAACCGAGGAACGUCGAUCGAUACUGCUGUUCUUGAGGAUUGCAGAGGAGACUGGAAUUCCCGGUGUAGCGGUGAAAUGUGUAGAGAUCGGGAGGAGCACCGGUGGCGAAGGCGGGUCUCUGGGCAAUUCCUGACGCUGAGGCGCGAAAGCGUGGGGAGCAAACGGG